CUGCCCCAAGGCAGGAGUGGAAGAGACACCUUGCGGUUGGUGGUGCUCUUUUAUCAGUCAGGGCAGACAGCAGUCCUUUGUUCAUCCUAGCUUGAUGUCUGGUUUGGAGGCCAAAGCUGUCUUAUGCCUAGGACUCAUAA